rnacentral:rRNA from 1 species
AGAGUUUGAUCCUGGCUCAGGACGAACGCUGGCGGCGUGCCUAAUACAUGCAAGUCGAACGCACUGACGUCGACCGAAGCUGCUUGCAGUGGACGUUGAUUGACGUGAGUGGCGGACGGGUGAGUAACACGUGGGUAACCUACCCUUAAGUGGGGGAUAACAUUUGGAAACAGAUGCUAAUACCGCAUAACCAUUUAGACCACAUGGUCUGAAUGUAAAAGACGGCCUUUGGCUGUCACUUUUGGACGGACCCGCGGCGUAUUAGUUAGUUGGUGAGGUAACGGCUCACAAAGACCAUGAUACGUAGCCGACCUGAGAGGGUAAUCGGCCACAUUGGGACUGAGACACGGCCCAAACUCCUACGGGAGGCAGCAGUAGGGAAUCUUCCACAAUGGACGAAAGUCUGAUGGAGCAACGCCGCGUGAGUGAAGAAGGUUUUAGGAUCGUAAAACUCUGUUGUUGGAGAAGAACAGGGACUAGAGUAACUGUUAGUCCUUUGACGGUAUCCAACCAGAAAGCCACGGCUAACUACGUGCCAGCAGCCGCGGUAAUACGUAGGUGGCAAGCGUUGUCCGGAUUUAUUGGGCGUAAAGCGAGCGCAGGCGGUUUUUUAAGUCUGAUGUGAAAGCCUUCGGCUUAACCGAAGAAGUGCAUUAGAAACUGGAAAACUUGAGUGCAGAAGAGGAAAGUGGAACUCCAUGUGUAGCGGUGAAAUGCGUAGAUAUAUGGAAGAACACCAGUGGCGAAGGCGGCUUUCUGGUCUGUAACUGACGCUGAGGCUCGAAAGUAUGGGGAGCGAACAGG